UGGAGCUCGGACGCGAGUUC
rnacentral:snRNA from 1 species